UCCAUGCACCGUCGGGUCACUUGCACCAGCAGUGUGCAAGUCACGUGCGUUAACAGACGUUGCCAUCCGUUGGUUAGUGAAGAAGACGGAAACGAAGAACAAAAAAAUCAAAGUGCAGUAAAAACAAAAUUUACCCCGACCAGUUGGCAUGCACGUGGUUGUUGAGAUCGACCUUUGUUAUGCCCGACCUUUCAAUUUUUGUUCGCGGGGAAAUUGCAGCUAGCAGAGACUGUUCACUGAUCUUGAUGCAGAACACAAAGGAAAGAUCAACAAGAGAGAAGACAGAGAGCGGUUCUAGUCUCCGAAGGGUCCCUCCAAACAAGAAGAAUUAGAAGAACACCAAUUCUUGAUAGUUCCUGAGGUGAAGACCAAUUCUUUUCUUUCAGGUUGAGAUGGGUGUCCCUCCGUUUCAGGUUAUUCUUCACUCUGCGAAACCCUAGUUCCUAAUUCAAUACCGAAUCCGGAGUUCUUCUUAGCAUUCAGCCCACGGAGCUCAAAUUCCCCUGUGAAGCUAGUUUGGUAUUAUAAUAAUGCACUUGGACGACCAGAUAAAAAGAAAUUCAUAGCUCGACAUAAAUCGUACCAUGGUUCAACUUUGAUAGCAGCAAGCCUUUCAUACCCAAUUCUAGUGAAAUUUCAGGAAAAGAUCACCCUUCAGUUCAUUAACUGUAAAUUUCUUUUCACAGCCUCCCAGCUCUGCAUCAAAAAUUUGAUCUUCCUGCUCCAUUUGUAUUGCACACUGAUUGCCCCCAUUAUUGGCGCUAUCACCAGCCAGGUGAGUCGGAGGAGGAAUUCUCAACCAGAUUAGCCAAUAAUUUGGAGAAUCACCAGAGACUAUUGUUAGUUUCUUUACAGGCAAUGGAUAAAGUUUAAACGUUGUAUUCAUGCUACCUGAAGGACAACUUAAAAAGAUUGGAGAAAGAGGAAAGAUGCAGAGGACUUGUGCAAGGAAAGGAGAAGACUGCUGGAGAUUAAAAGGUGGCAGUUUGCAUAUAUAUCUUGAUUGCUGGAAGACCCCACUCCCUUCCUGAAUUUGUUUUUGCAGAAGUCUUAGUUUAAUCACUAUUUGUUAAAACAAUCUUAUUCCUUUCAAAAAUAGAUACAAUGUCAGUUGUAUAGUAUAAUAAAGUGAACUCAUGCUAUGGGUUUAAGAUAUGUAACAGGCCAAUCAAGAUUCAAUGUGUUUUAAGUGUAGAAGUUGCAAUUCAAAAUACUCAGUAUUUUGUCUUUCAA